GUACUCUCACACUCCCAAUCCUUUUUCUUUGGAUUGGGAGCGGUGGACUUGGGUGCUGCUGCUUACUGUGGCUCACCUCAAAUGCGUUAGUGCAACCGUUGGUUAGACAUAGUACAGCGUGAUAAGUAUCUUCGCUGGCGCCUCACUCGAGGGUGGCUGAUCAGGGCUCUGUGCUUCCAAUCGUCUUCGGACACUGCUGACA
rnacentral:misc_RNA from 1 species